rnacentral:rRNA from 1 species
AACGAACGCUGGCGGCAGGCUUAACACAUGCAAGUCGGACGGAUCCUUCGGGAUUAGUGGCAGACGGGUGAGUAACGCGUGGGAACGUACCCUUUGCUACGGAAUAACUCAGGGAAACUUGAGCUAAUACCGUAUGUGCCCUACGGGGGAAAGAUUUAUCGGCAAAGGAUCGGCCCGCGUUGGAUUAGCUAGUUGGUGGGGUAAUGGCCUACCAAGGCGACGAUCCAUAGCUGGUCUGAGAGGAUGAUCAGCCACACUGGGACUGAGACACGGCCCAGACUCCUACGGGAGGCAGCAGUGGGGAAUAUUGGACAAUGGGCGCAAGCCUGAUCCAGCCAUGCCGCGUGAGUGAUGAAGGUCUUAGGAUUGUAAAGCUCUUUCACCGGUGAAGAUAAUGACGGUAGCCGGAGAAGAAGCCCCGGCUAACUUCGUG